AGGGCACCACCAGGAGUGGAGCCUGCGGCUUAAUUUGACUCAACACGGGAAAACUCACCCGGCCCGGACACUGGAAGGAUUGACAGAUUGAGAGCUCUUUCUUGAUUCAGUGGGUGGUGGUGCAUGGCCGUUCUUAGUUGGUGGAGUGAUUUGUCUGGUUAAUUCCGAUAACGAACGAGACUCUAGCCUACUAAAUAGCCUGCCUGGCUUACAAACGCCGGCAAGACUUCUUAGAGGGACAGGCGGUGAUUCAACCGCACGAAACAGAGCAAUAACAGGUCUGUGAUGCCCUUAGAUGUCCGGGGCCGCACGCGCGCUACACUGAAGUGAUCAGCGUGCCUAUUCAGCCUACUCUGUCAAGAGUGGGAAACCCAAUGAACCUUCUUCGUGAUUGGGAUAGGGGAUUGUAAUUAUUCCCCUUGAACGAGGAAUUCCCAGUAAGCGCGAGUCAUAAGCUCGCGUUGAUUACGUCCCUGCCCUUUGUACACACCGCCCGUCGCUACUACCGAUUGAAUGUUU
rnacentral:rRNA from 1 species